GACGAACGCUGGCGGCGUGCUUAACACAUGCAAGUCGAACGGAAAGGCCCUGCUUUUGUGGGGUGCUCGAGUGGCGAACGGGUGAGUAACACGUGAGUAACCUGCCCUUGACUUUGGGAUAACUUCAGGAAACUGGGGCUAAUACCGGAUAGGAGCUCCUGCUGCAUGGGGGGGGUUGGAAAGUUUCGGCGGUGGGGGAUGGACUCGAGGCUUAUCAGCUUGUUGGGGGGGUAGUGGCUUACCAAGGCUUUGACGGGUAGCCGGCCUGAGAGGGUGACCGGCCACAUUGGGACUGCGAUACGGCCCAGACUCCUACGGGAGGCAGCAGUGGGGAAUAUUGCACAAUGGGCGGAAGCCUGAUGCAGCAACGCCGCGUGCGGGAUGACGGCCUUCGGGUUGUAAACCGAUUUCGACUGUGACGAAGCGUGAGUGACGGUAAUGGGUAAAGAAGCACCGGCUAACUACGUG
rnacentral:rRNA from 1 species